GCAAGCAUGCGCAAUGGGGCUCUGUGUCAAUUCGAGUCUCCUCAUUAGAAGCCAAGCAUAGCGGAGUGACUACUCGUCAGGCGCGCAGCAGUCAUGCUCCUACCCAGUUCCUGUUUCCGCCUUCAGUCUUCAGUCUUGAGUUUACAACUCAAAGCAUCAUGGUCAGGCAGAAUAUAGACCUUGAAGAAAUGCAAGCUCAAUGAGAUAAAGCCAGGAUGCCGGUGGGCGGAGUUGGGAGGGUCGUCAGCUACAUGGGAAACAGCUGGGCCCACUCUCCCAGGAUAAAUACACCACUUCCCCAUUCAUGGAGGGGACUCUCUCCAGGCAGACAUUUUGAUAGAUUCGGUUAUGGUUCAUGGUGCUACCUAGUUUCGUUAUUUAAUAAAUAUAUUUUGUUACUCCUUAUCUCCACGUGGUCUCCUUUUUGUUACGGGCUCUGAGCCGGUUCGUGACAAGUGGGGGCUCAUCCGGGAUAUUUGAACGUAUUGGUUUGGGAGAACGUGGAGGUACGUGUUUGGUUUGCGUAUUUUGUUUGAGUUUGAUAGGCCCAGUAUUGGUGGCCUUUGUUGUUUGGUUUGUGUGUUGCGUUGGAGAGAGUAUAAUGGUUAGUUUCCAGGCCCUGCCCAGCCUGUAAACUCUUGUUCUACUUUCUGUUGGGAUAUCGGUCUGAGGUGAGUAAUCGGCUGUGUACCUCAGUGGGAGAUUUGGGUAGGGUAGUGGAACUUGCUACCCGGAGCUAUAGCCUUUUACCCCUGAUAGGCUUAGUGACCUGUUUCACUUUUUUAAAUAUGUUGGGCAUGGUUAAUGUUUGUUAUUUUUGUGUGGUGUCUGUGGACUGAGCAGUUGUCUCGGGGGCACAUCCGUGGCUUGGUGGAAUCUACCAGCGUGCUGGGGGGUUUAUUUUCAUGCCAGCGGGCUACAGUGCGUAAAUACCCACCGCAAAUCCGCACGAAGACUAGGGUUGAGUUAAUGUAGGUUUGGGGAAGCUCCGUAUCUCAUCUCUCUUCUGUGGUACUCAGGGUGAUUGUCAUUUCUUGAGUUGUGGUCUGGUGUGCUCAGCAGAGGGGAAGAGUGAGAAUUUGUUGUAACUAUGGCAUCUUUUGUAGAUGAGUUCAUUCGCUUUCCAUCAGAGGAACUGUUAGAAUUAGGUACUAAAGAACAGCUGUUGAAAAUUGCCGAAUACAACAAGGUUGAAAUUAGUGAUAAACGUCUAAAGAAUUCUAUUAGGUUGAUAUUGAAGGCCAAUCUGAUGGAGAGUGGUAUUCUUGAGCCAGCCUCUGCUGAGGAGUCAUCUCCCCGUAACGUUACAAUGGCCAUUCCAUUGGUUAGUCCUAGUAGUUUUCUUUUUGAACAGCAGAAAGAACUGCUUCUGUUACGGCAGCAUGAUCGUGAGAAGCUAGAGUAUGAUCGUGUAAAGUAUGAAAAGGAAUUAGAUAUGGAGCAUGCUAAAAUCAAGUUGCAACAAGAACGGAUAGAGUUGGUUAGGGAAGGAAAGAUUUCAGGGGAGAGUUUGUUCUGGGAAGGUGACCCAGAUUUACCUAGGGUUCGUUCCUCUAUUGGUCGUGCCCCGGACACAUUUGAUAUUGUUGGGAACUUAAGGUUAUUGCCUCAGUUUAAUGAAAAGGACCCUGAGACAUUCUUUUCAUUGUUUGAGCGUGUUGCUGACGCUAGGAGUUGGCCUGAUUCUGACCGCACCUUAAUGUUGCAGUGUGUGCUGACUGGUAAAGCGCAGGAAGCAUAUUCAGCUCUUAGUGUACACGACAGUGCCAACUAUGAUAAGGUUAAAACGGCUGUGUUACAAAUUUAUGAAUUGGUAACUGAGGCUUACCGCCAACGAUUUAGAACUUUAAAAAAGGAUGAUAAACAGACUCAUGUUGAGUUUGCGCGACAAUUAUCUUUACAGUUUAAUCGCUGGUGUUCCGCCUCUGAAGUUGUGACUCUCCAAGGGCUGUGUGAUCUGAUUAUGUUAGAGCAAUUUAAGGACUCAAUCCCUGAUCGUAUUGCCACAUAUAUUAACGAACGAAAAGUAAAGAAUGUCGCUGAAGCUGCGGGUUUGGCGGAUGAGUAUGUGUUGACUCACAAAAGUGUCUUUGCAGAGCCCCGUAUUCGGAAUGAGUGGGGGCAUUCGGAUAGAUUUGGGCUUCGCUCACCAAGAUAUUUUGGUUCACGGGCAGAGUUCAAUUCAACUAGGGUUGAGCCUGACUCCCGUGGAAAAGCUGACUUUGGGCAAGAGUGUCAUUACUGUCAUGAUUCAGGUCAUUGGAAAAACGAAUGUCCGGUUCUCAGGGAAAAGGACAAAUUCAGUACGCGUGAUUAUGUUAAAUCUAAGCCUACGGCGUUAGCUGCGCCUGUUUCACAUCAGUUCACUCAUGACACGUGGUCUCAGGCGCAGGUGAAAGUCCAUAUUCACCCAGGCUAUUUACCUUUCAUUAUGGAAGGUUUUGUGUCUAUAUUAGGGAGUAAGGAAUUGGUGCCAGUGAAGAUCUUGAGAGACACAGGUGCCUCCGAAUCGUUUGUGUUGGAGUCUGUGUUACCCUUUUCAGCUGAGACUGAUUCGGGGAAGAGUGUUCUAAUUAGGGGAAUAGGUUUGAACACUCUUUCAGUUCCAUUACAUAAAAUGAUGUUGGAUUGUGGGUUGGUAAAAGGUGAGGUUGUUGUGGGGGUGCGUCCUUCGUUGCCUAUUGAGGGUGUUGACGUUGUUCUUGGGAAUAACUUGGCUGGUGAUUGUGUAUGGCCUGUCGUGUUUCCAUCUCGAGUUGUUUCCAUAAAGCCGUUAGUUGUUGAGAUUCCAGAUGAGAGUGUACAGAGCUCCCCAGGGAUGUUCCGUGCGUGUGCAGUGACGAGUUCUAUGAGUCGUGGCGAACUGGUCACUGUGCCGACUGAUGAGAAUACCGCAAAGAAGUAUGACACUGCUUUCCCUGUUAUUCCGUUAUCUGUUACCCACUCAGAUCUAGUCAGUGCGCAGCGGACUGACCCCACAUUGGAAGAGUUGCGUGACCAAAUUGUGCCUGUGGAACAGUUAGGAGGUGUCGCCCAUUGCUAUUUUCUCCAAGAGGAUGUCCUGAUGAGAAAGUGGGUGUCUCAUGGUAGUCGUUUUCUGGGGGAGGCGAUUAGUCAGGUUGUGGUACCAGUAAAGCUUCGUGAGUUGGUUUUGACAACUUCUCACAAUGGUGUUGCUGGACAUAUGGGUGUGAGGAAAACAUACCAUCGCAUAUUAAGACAUUUCUUUUGGCCUAGAUUAAAGAGGGAUGUCUCUGAUUUCAUCAACUUGUCACACCUGUCAAUUAACUGGUAAACCUAAUCAAGCUAUUAAGCCGGUACCACGGUUUCCUACUCCUGUACUCAGCCAACCUUUUGAGUAUUUGAUCAUUGACUGUGUGGGUCCUUUGCCUCGUACAAAAAAGGGUAGAUUGAAAUGAGUAGUCUGUUACGUUGUGAAGUGGCUAUGAAUCGUUGGGAAUUAAAAAAUUAAUGACCUUGUUCUUUUCGUUGGAGUUUGUAGCUGAUGUGGUCUCGUGCGCCCUCUUCCUGAAUGUUUGUAUGGUCAGGUUCUGUCUUUCCUGUCUAUUCCGUCCUGGUCUGGGAAGUCUUCUUUCCUCUUAAAAGUUGCUUCCUAUGCACUAAUGUUGCUGAGGUCUGGGGAGUCUUCUUUCCUCUUAAAUGUUGCUUCCUAUGUAUUAAGGUUGCUGAGGUCUGGGGAGUCUUCUUUCCUCUUAAAGGUUGCUUCCCGUGCACAAAGGUUGCUGAGGUCUGGAGAGGAGGUUGGCUGGGGCAAAUUUGGAAGUGGGAACACGUACCCCUCAUCAAUUUGGGACGCAAGUGCUGUGUCAGUUUGGGACGCAGAGGGCGGUAUGUUGUUCCGGGGUCCUUGUUGGUCCCCGGUUUUAUGGGGGGUAAUGUGACGACCCUCCCACUCUGUCUACCGUUUUGUCUCUCUUUGCUCUUGUUUCCUUAUUAGGAUGCCGGUGGGCGGAGUUGGGAGGGUCGUCAGCUACAUGGGAAACACCUGGGCCCACUCUCCCAGGAUAAAUUAAAUUGAAGAAGUUUUUCUCUGAAGUCCCAAGUGAGGAUUCUGUGAGGCUUCUAAAAAAGACUCAGACCUACUUAGUGCCCAUCCUAGAAGUACUGAAGAAAGAAGACCACUGAGUGACUGAGCCGUCUGUCAGUCAGUCAGAGGACUGCAGAGACACAGAGGGUGACACCAGUGAGUGGCCAGACUACCAGAGCCCGGCUCAGCACAAGCCCAAACCAGCCUAUCCCAGAGAGGGCCCACCCAGGAAGGCAGGCCGCAACAAUGGACCUCAACCCAUCCUAACCCCUUGCAGGAACCAUAGCCAUGCAUUAACUAACCCCAUCAACCAAACCCCAACUGGACCACGCUCACCUCCUCCGUUCUCCCUACGCCCUCCAUCGCCGUUCCAACCAUGCUUCAGAGCCUAUUGUGACGGGAGUGCUGCUCACCCUCCCAUCCCUCACCCCUCCACCCCAAAGACCCCAGAG